AAGGCCCAUACACACCCUUAGAAAGGGAGCGGGGCCGAACAGUCCUCUAGAAACGUCAAUCCGAGCACGAGUGUAUACGAAAGAGGAACUCGAGCUGUUAUCGCGCUACCACCAUUAAAGAGGCGAAAUUUUUUUAAGAAAUCAUUUACGUCCCUUCCUUGUACACACCGCCCGUCGCUACUACCGAUUGAAUGGCUCGGUGAGGCCUUCGGACUGGCUCAGGGGAGUUGGCAACGACCCCCCCAGAGCCGGAAAGUUGGUCAAACCCGGUCAUUUAGAGGAAGUAAAGUCGUAACAAGGUUUCCGUAGGUGAACCUGCGGAAGGAUCAUUACCGAGUGCGGGCCCUCUGGGUCCAACCUCCCACCCGUGUUUAUCGUACCUUGUUGCUUCGGCGGGCCCGCCGUCUUCGGACGGCCGCCGGGGAGGCCUCCGCGCCCCCGGGCCCGCGCCCGCCGAAGACCACAACAUGAACUCUGUUCUGAAGUUUUGCAGUCUGAGUUGAUUAUCAUAAUCAGUUAAAACUUUCAACAACGGAUCUCUUGGUUCCGGCAUCGAUGAAGAACGCAGCGAAAUGCGAUAACUAAUGUGAAUUGCAGAAUUCAGUGAAUCAUCGAGUCUUUGAACGCACAUUGCGCCCCCUGGUAUUCCGGGGGGCAUGCCUGUCCGAGCGUCAUUGCUGCCCUCAAGCACGGCUUGUGUGUUGGGCCCCCGUCCCCGGUUUCCCGGGGACGGGCCCGAAAGGCAGCGGCGGCACCGCGUCCGGUCCUCGAGCGUAUGGGGCUUUGUCACCCGCUCUUGUAGGGCCGGCCGGCGCCUGUCGACACCAACCCAAUUUUCUAAGGUGACCUCGGAUCAGGUAGGGACCCCCGUUA
rnacentral:rRNA from 1 species